rnacentral:rRNA from 1 species
AGUGAACGCUGGCGGUAGGCCUAACACAUGCAAGUCGAACGGCAGCACAGUAAGAGCUUGCUCUUACGGGUGGCGAGUGGCGGACGGGUGAGGAAUACAUCGGAAUCUACUUUUUCGUGGGGGAUAACGUAGGGAGACUUACGCUAAUACCGCAUACGACCUACGGGUGAAAGCAGGGGAUCUUCGGACCUUGCGCGAUUGAAUGAGCCGAUGUCGGAUUAGCUAGUUGGCGGGGUAAAGGCCCACCAAGGCGACGAUCCGUAGCUGGUCUGAGAGGAUGAUCAGCCACACUGGAACUGAGACACGGUCCAGACUCCUACGGGAGGCAGCAGUGGGGAAUAUUGGACAAUGGGCGCAAGCAUGAUCCAGCCAUACCGCGUGGGUGAAGAAGGCCUUCGGGUUGUAAAGCCCUUUUGUUGGGAAAGAAAAGCAGCAGGUUAAUACCCCGCUGUUCUGACGGUACCCAAAGAAUAAGCACCGGCUAACUUCGUG